CGUGGGGCAAGGCCCCCUCACCGGGCAAGUUCAUGCUCUCCCCCCUCACGUGGCCCCAGGCUCUCAGUCUUGGGCUGUGCUGCCGGCCGCUGUUCCGGGCCAGCCCAUCAUCACGGGCAAUGGACCUCAGAUUCCGUCUCUCGUCCCUGGGGCUGAUCACAAAGGGCCCCUCCUCGGGUUCCUGCCUGCUUUCUCCUCCCCAGUUUUGGCUUCCCUGCUCUGCCUUCUGCUUUGCCCAAGGUUUCUCUGCGUUCCUCAUUGAACAGGAAUCUCACGGUAAUGAAGCCCAAGAACAAUGUGUUACCUGACAUGCUUUGUGUGGGGUGUGAUGGAAAAUGGAAGAUGAAGAAGAUGAGCAAAAGUGGAGAUAAAAGAACAUUGGAGUCACUAGAGAGAAUCUUCCGGGCUUCUUUGAGUCCAACAGAGACAGUCUUUUCUCACAAAAACCAGAGAGGUAUAACCUCUCUCCCUCCCAGGAUAGUUGCAGAAAUUAUCUCAAAGAAAGCCCCAUCACAAAAGAAACCACACUGGAUGUGAGAGUUGGACUGAGAAGAAGGCUGAGCACCAAAGAAUUGAUGCCUUUGAACUGUGGUGUUGGAGA
ensembl:lncRNA